GCUUCAUGAUUUGGGCAUUACAUUAACUUAUCAUUGAAACUUUGCCAAACUUCAUACAAUGGUUCACCAUUAAGUAGGCAAAAGUUGGUGAUUUUGUUCCUUACU